rnacentral:rRNA from 1 species
GACGAACGCUGGCGGCGUGCUUAACGCAUGCCAGUCGAACGGAAAGGCCUCUUUCGGGGGGUACUCGAGUGGCGAACGGGUGAGUAACACGUGAGUAACCUGCCCUUGACUUUGGGAUAACUUCAGGAAACUGGGGCUAAUACCGGAUAGGAGCUCCUGCUGCAUGGUGGGGGUUGGAAAGUUUCGGCGGUUGGGGAUGGACUCGCGGCUUAUCAGCUUGUUGGUGGGGUAGUGGCUUACCAAGGCUUUGACGGGUAGCCGGCCUGAGAGGGUGACCGGCCACAUUGGGACUGAGAUACGGCCCAGACUCCUACGGGAGGCAGCAGUGGGGAAUAUUGCACAAUGGGUGGAAGCCUGAUGCAGCAACGCCGUGUGCGGGAUGACGGCCUUCGGGUUGUAAACCGCUUUCGCUCAUGACGAAGCUUUGUGUGACGGUAGUGGGUAAAGAAGCACCGGCUAACUACGUG